GACGAACGCUGGCGGCGGGCUUAACACAUGCAAGUCGAACGGAAAGGCCCUGCUUUCGUGGGGUUCUCGAGUGGCGAACGGGUGAGUAAGACGUGAGUAACCUGCCCUUGACUUUGGGAUAACUUCAGGAAACUGGGGCUAAUAUCGGAUAGGAGAUCCUGCAGCAUGGUGGGGGUUGGAAAUUCUCGGCGGUCGGGGAUGGACGCGCGGCUGUUCAGUUUGUUGGUUGGGUAGUGGUUGACCAAGGCUUUGGCGGGUAGGCGGCCUGGGAGGGUGACCGGGGACCAUGGGCCUGAGGUACGGACCAGUCGGCAACGGGGGGCAACGGUGGGGAACAUGGCACAGUGGGCGGGCGCCUGUUACGAAGGCCCUGCGGGCGGAAAGACGGCUUUUGGGUUGUGAAACGCUUCCGGCUGUGACGAAGCGGGUGUGACGGUAACGGGUGAAGAAGCACCGGCUAACUACGUG
rnacentral:rRNA from 1 species